CCUACGGGGGGCAGCAGUGAGGAAUAUUGGUCAAUGGACGAGAGUCUGAACCAGCCAAGUAGCGUGAAGGAUGACUGCCCUAUGGGUUGUAAACUUCUUUUAUAUGGGAAUAAAAUGUUCCACGUGUGGGAUUUUGUAUGUACCAUAUGAAUAAGGAUCGGCUAACUCCGGGCCAGCAGCCGCGGUAAUACGGAGGAUCCGAGCGUUAUCCGGAUUUAUUGGGUUUAAAGGGAGCGUAGGUGGAUUGUUAAGUCAGUUGUGAAAGUUUGCGGCUCAACCGUAAAAUUGCAGUUGAAACUGGCAGUCUUGAGUACAGUAGAGGUGGGCGGAAUUCGUGGUGUAGCGGUGAAAUGCUUAGAUAUCACGAAGAACUCCGAUUGCGAAGGCAGUUCACUGGACUGCAACUGACACUGAGGCUCGAAAGUGUGGGUAUCAAACAGGAUUAGAUACCCCUGUAGUC
rnacentral:rRNA from 1 species